CGGCGCUAUCUGCAGUCGAGCGGAUUGAUGGGAGCUUGCUCCCUGAUAUCAGCGGCGGACGGGUGAGUAACACGUGGGUAACCUGCCUGUAAGACUGGGAUAACUCCGGGAAACCGGGGCUAAUACCGGAUAACUCAUUUCCUCGCAUGAGGAAAUGUUGAAAGGUGGCUUCGGCUACCACUUACAGAUGGACCCGCGGCGCAUUAGCUAGUUGGUGAGGUAACGGCUCACCAAGGCAACGAUGCGUAGCCGACCUGAGAGGGUGAUCGGCCACACUGGGACUGAAACACGGCCCAGACUCCUACGGGAGGCAGCAGUAGGGAAUCUUCCGCAAUGGACGAAAGUCUGACGGAACAACGCCGCGUGAGUGAUGAAGGUUUUCGGAUCGUAAAGCUCUGUUGUUAGGGAAGAACAAGUGCCGUUCGAAUAGGGCGGCACCUUGACGGUACCUAACCAGAAAGCCACGGCUAACUACGUGCCAGCAGCCGCGGUAAUACGUAGGUGGCAAGCGUUGUCCGGAAUUAUUGGGCGUAAAGCGCGCGCAGGUGGUUCCUUAAGUCUGAUGUGAAAGCCCACGGCUCAACCGUGGAGGGUCAUUGGAAACUGGGGAACUUGAGUGCAGAAGAGGAAAGUGGAAUUCCAAGUGUAGCGGUGAAAUGCGUAGAUAUUUGGAGGAACACCAGUGGCGAAGGCGACUUUCUGGUCUGUAACUGACACUGGGCGCGAAAGCGUGGGGAGCAAACAGGAUUAGAUACCCUGGUAGUCCACGCCGUAACGAUGAGUGCUAAGUGUUAGGGGUUUCCGCCCCUUAGUGCUGCAGCUAACGCAUUAAGCACUCGCUGGGAGUACGUCGCAGACUGAAACUCAAAUGAUGACGGGGCCGCACAGCGGUGAGCAUGUGGUUUAAUCGAAGCACGCGAGA
rnacentral:rRNA from 1 species